rnacentral:tRNA from 1 species
GGUUGUAGCUCAGUGGUAGAGUGCUUGCCUAGCAUGUGUGAAGCACUGGGUUUGAUCCUCAGCACCA